GUGUCUUCAACUGCCGACCGGUUGAUCGCCCCAAAGUGGUUGUUGACCGGUUGGGAACUGUUCGGUGAUUCACUGAUACACCAUGGCGUGUGGAAUUACCAUGACUGCUAACCACUGGAGGGCUCAAUGGUCGGCAGGAAAAAAAGGUUAAAUGUCUGAUUUGAUGAGCUUCGAAAUCAAUGUUGGACUGAAAUAAAUACCUGUGAUUCUGUGCUUGCUUUUUUGUUUUCUCGUGCUGCUUUCGCAGAUUCCCCAUGCCCUUUCGAAGCUGCUCGUUGUCUGAUGGAAGUGAAGUUGCAGUGUGCUUGCGAAGGAAAUUACCUCUUGUUUUCCUCGUCCCGAAGCUUCACACUGAGUUCUUUACUUGAUGGAUACUUUGGCAAACUUGAAGGGUCACAAGCAAGAGGCUUUGUUCUGAAGAACUGAUGAGGAAACUCAACAUUCAGUAACCAUCACUAACAUCAAGUUUAAACUAAAUGAACUUACAUCACUCUGAAGGGCAGACUCUGCAGUUCCUCGCUCUGCCGGCUCAAUUGCUAAUAAUGUAUCCAAAAGAGCCAAAGCAGAAGCCGGGAAAUCCUUGAAUGUCUCUCUAACGCAACGCCGAUGGAGAGCCACACAGCUUGAAAAUUUUGUGCAUUUGCUCCACCUGAAAGAACUUCAAUCAUCAAGAGCAAGCUCGCAAGAAUACAACCAGUGCUCCACAGAUCAACACCGACACCAUAAUCUGUAGCACCUAGAAGAAGCUCCGGUGGCCGAUACCACAGCGUUACAACACGGCUUGUCAUUUGCUGUUUCUGAUCAGGAUGGAAAAAUGUUGCCAGGCCGAAGUCUCCUAUUUUGAGUAUGCCAUUGCCAUCAAUCAGCAGUUUUGACAGAAAACAGAAAUCAACCUGGCUCAGGAAAUCAACUCCAAAGGUAAAAAUAAAAAAUAUUUCAGCAACCUGUGAUUCAGAGAACUUGAUCCCAGGUGUUGCAGCAAGUCCAGCAAGAUCAUGCUCCAUGUAUUCAAACACCAAAUACAAGCUGCCAGACAUCCGAGAAGUUACAAUUCCUUGAAGCUUCAAUACAUUUGGAUGAUCAAGCUUUCGCAGAAUAUGUAUCUCCCUCGCCAUAAAUCUUACACUUUCAGGAUCCAUAUUAAUGAAUCUCACUUUCUUCAGCGCGACAAAUUUACCAGUUUCAAGAUCCAGAGCUUUGUACACAGAACUAUAUGUCCCCUGCCCAAUCUGCAGCAAGAAGAACAAGAAGUACAAGCAAUGUAAUGCACACAGCUUUGCGCGGGAGCCAACCAUUGACGGCCUCAGAAGCGACGGAGGUAAGCCAAGCAGGCCAACCGGCGGCGACAUGCUCAGCAAGAAACCCAUGAAGAACAACAUUGGGCUGAGGUUUGGAAGCAGGGAUAGCAUCAGCAUCGGCAACAGCAGCAUUGUCUCUCCUUGAUGAAUUAACGAAGAGUUUCAACGAGGAUUUGGUUUGGGCUUUAUCUUUGUUGUUGUAUGAAGGGUCCUUGACUUUGAUAGCUUUGGAACAAAUGCAGCCCAUUUAAUGGAGGAUAUGCUUGAAGCUCCUUCAAUGGAGGAAGGAGAAGCAGGAUGAGAAAAUCAAGUUUGGAGAUUUAAUGUUUGGAUUCAAAAUGGAAUGAAAAAGAAAAAAGGUUUGAGCUUUUGGUUGUUUUCUUUUGGAGUAGAUGGAGAUGGUAAUUCGGUUGCAUGGAGAGCGAGAAACGCGGGGAACCCAGGAUUUGGUACUAGUUUGUUCUUUGGCUGUUGUUGAGAUGUGCUGUGUUAUUUUGGAUGUGGAUUUUGUACAUGCAACAAGCACCAACGUUUAUGUAGGGAGAGAUAUGUUUAAUCACGUUGGAUCAAGUUGGAUGAUGAUCCAACGUCAGUUUGUUUAUAGGGUAACAAACGUCUUUUAUCCGUUUGAUGGGUAAAAUUUCGAUGGGUAAAAUUUCAA